rnacentral:rRNA from 1 species
CCUACGGGUGGCUGCAGUGAGGAAUAUUGGGCAAUGCCCGCAAGGGUGACCCAGCAACGCCGCGUGGAGGAUGAAGGCCGUAAGGUUGUAAACUCCUGUUAGAGGAGAAGAAUAGUACCGAUUGGAUCGGUAUUUGACUGUACCCUCAGAGAAAGCCCCGGCUAACUACGUGCCAGCAGCCGCGGUAAUACGUAGGGGGCAGGCGUUGUCCGGUGUAACGGGGUCUCAAGGGCGCGCAGGCGGGAGAGGAGAAAGCCUACAGCUUAACUGUAGAACUGCCUUGGAUACGGUUAUGCUUGAGUUCGGGAGAGAGAGACGGAAUUCCAGGUGUAGUGGUGAAAUACGUAGAUAUCUGGAAGAACACCAGUUGCGAAGGCGGUCUCUUGGUCCGAUACUGACGCUGAGGCGCGAAAGCGUGGGGAGCAAACAGGAUUAGAUACCCGAGUAGUC